rnacentral:lncRNA from 1 species
UUCGAAUCGUGUCUUAAGCCAUCAAAUGUUUAAAAUAAUCUACUGACUUUAUUUUUAAGGGUUUACCCCUUCAAAAAUGACAGCUUCACUUGAGACCCUACUGUACCCAUCUGGUAAGCGGUUGCCGGAUAGGCAAAUGAGUAGCUCCCUACAACUGAAAGUUUGAUAAGGAAUCCAUUUAUCUCAACUGUAUCUCAUGUAAAAGAUAUACAAAUCACUGGCAACCUCAAUGAUGUGAAUGCAGAUUAGUUCUGCCUUUUUGUAGCUUCCCCUUUGCAAACGUUCCAUACCUACAAAUUGUUUAUGAUUUAAUUGCAUUUUAAAACAUGUUUUUCCUCAGAAAUUCCCGCACCAAAAAUAGAUAAUGAUUUAUGGAUCGCGAAGGAUAACCUAGGCAAGUUUGAAAGCAAAAGCUCAACUUGGCGGAGCAGUUCUGCAGUAAAGCCCGGAGAACCAAAAAAUGGAACGUUAAUCGCAGAUCGAGAAUUUCCAUUACCCUAUCAAAGUCCUGAAAGAGUUUAUUGUGGUUACUCAAAUCUAAAUCCUCAUCAUCUAGAGCUAUCAUUGCCUGUUUAG